GCUCCGGUAGCUCAGCGGAAGAGCGCCGCAACCCGGGACGCGAAAGCGUGCACGCGGAAGCCGCCGGUUCGAAUCCGGCCCGGAGCA
rnacentral:tRNA from 1 species